rnacentral:rRNA from 1 species
GUCUCAAAGAUUAAGCCAUGCAUGUCUAAGUUUAAGCAAUUAAACCGCGAAACUGCGAAUGGCUCAUUAAAUCAGUUAUAGUUUAUUUGAUAGUACCUUACUACAUGGAUAACCGUGGUAAUUCUAGAGCUAAUACAUGCUAAAAACCCCGACUUCGGAAGGGGUGUAUUUAUUAGAUUAAAAACCAAUGCCCUUCGGGGCUAACUGGUGAUUCAUAAUAACUUCUCGAAUCGCAUGGCCUUGCGCUGGCGAUGGUUCAUUCAAAUUUCUGCCCUAUCAACUUUCGACGGCUGGGUCUUGGCCAGCCAUGGUGACAACGGGUAACGGAGGGUUAGGGCUCGACCCCGGAGAAGGAGCCUGAGAAACGGCUACUACAUCCAAGGAAGGCAGCAGGCGCGCAAAUUACCCAAUCCCGACACGGGGAGGUAGUGACAAUAAAUACUGAUACAGGGCUCUUUUGGGUCUUGUAAUUGGAAUGAGUACAAUUUAAAUCCCUUAACGAGGAACAAUUGGAGGGCAAGUCUGGUGCCAGCAGCCGCGGUAAUUCCAGCUCCAAUAGCGUAUAUUAAAGUUGUUGAGGUUAAAAAGCUCGUAGUUGAACCUUGGGCUCGGCCCGUCGGUCCGCCUCACCGCGUGCACUGACUGGGUCGGGCCUUUUUUCCUGGAGAACCGCAGGCCCUUCCUGGGUGUGUCGGGGAACCAGGGACUUUUACCGUGAACAAAUCAAAUCGCUCAAAGAAGGCCUAUGCUCCAAAUGUACUAGCAUGGGAAUAAUAAAAAAAGGACGUGGGGGUUCUAUUUUGUUGGGUUUCUAGGACCCCCCCUAAUGGAUUUAAUAAGGGACAGUCCGGGGGGGCAUCCA